rnacentral:misc_RNA from 1 species
UGAGUAGCUUUGGACCCGUGUCUGCCGGUAGAUYCCCCGACUUGUACUGCGGCCGACUACCGGCGCCGUGUCCCGUCAAUUGUGUGGCUUCGAAUCGCUGGAUUAAGAGUGCUUGCGUGCUAGUACCCGACCUACGGGAAGUGGUGCUUCGUACAAUUGUUGCCUCGCGGCGGACACCCUGUGGGUGUGCCGUUGCGGCCGAAUAGCGCCUGCGGCGUUGCCUCGUGGCGCUGGCACGUAACGUGCCUGCUGCUAUCAAGGCAACCUCGCUCUCGCUGUUGGUCUCGGAUGCUGCUCACGAUAAAGGCUCGUGGCCCUUUUGGUUGCCUCGACCCGACCCAAAGCUCUCCGAAUUGAGAACAACCGGAACAGGAGUUGCCUCUACCUCUCCACAGUUACGUGGUAGGAUACGCGACUCUCUGCGCCGAUCCUCAAGGAGGAUGAGCUAUGCCGCUCAAGAGCGACACCCGGCCCGGCCGUUGCCUCUGUGUUUCCACGCAAGUGGGAGGGCAGGCCGACGGCCGACGCUGGGCGUCACCGAGGACGKNSYW